rnacentral:lncRNA from 11 species
GCUAUUUCAGCAGCCAUUCUCUCUCUGUGCUUCUUUCUUCGUCAAAUGGCUCUUGUUAAUCCAGAAUCAUGUCUUGGAUAUAUUGACAUCACAAGGCAAUGUAGCCAAUCAGAUUUAGCUACAUGCUCAUACCCUUACUGGGAAAUAAACCCUGCUGAAGGAGGGCUAAUUUUCCUGCGUAGGCGGAACAUUUUGUGACAAUACAGGAAAGAGCUUUCUCGUUCUCUGUUUCCCGGCUUUGGAAGUCUCUUCCCAUAGAGCUAGACUGGCACCCUUAUCACCUUUCUGUAAGCAGAUCCGAACAGAGCAGCUCCUUACUCCUCAUCUCCAGAGCUCCUUAAUAGGUCAUAAAGGAAAUGUUCAGCCUCACCAAUCAGGGCUGUUGGAAGGUACUGCUGUAACCAACUUCCAUUCCUGGAGCAAAACCAGAGAAACAGAUCCAAUUUCUUUCCAAGGAUGGAAGGAAAAGCUACUUCGCAGAGGUUUGAAGGGAGUGUACGUGACUGAAGCUUAAAUAGACACAUGGAAAACAAAAAAUCUGAAAGGAUUUAACUAUCAUUUCAAAUACCUGCCUCCUAUUAAAUAGUUACACAAUGCACUAGGAAAUAAUGCCCUCUGAUCAUCAUGUCCUGUUCUCUACAGGUAAUCUGAAUUGUAUGAAAACCACUAUUCCGUCUCUUAAAAUGCAUAUCUAAACAGUACAUGGGAAGGAAUUCUACCUUUUGGAGAAGGUCAGGAUAUGAAAAAGUAAAUUUCUUUGCCUUCAGAAUGGUGAUUGCUGUCUUGUUCACAUGGUGUUAUUAUUUUGUACCGGAACUUUUCAUUUCGAAAUCACUGGAGAGGACAAAGGAUGUUAUUUAGUAUUCUUUGAAGUGAAUGAAGGCUCUGUAAUUUUUGUUUUGAGAAGGAAAAGAGUACUGAAUGAGUGAACCUGGUGAUGAACAUAUUGCAGAAUGAAUAGGCAUAUUUCAGAACAUACAAUAAUUGAAGAAAACUUGAGAGCAAAUUGAAUAAAGACUAGGGUGAUGUCAAUUUUUUUUCUUACAUAAUCAUAUGUAUUGGAGAGAGCUCUAUUCAUUCAUUUCUUCCAAAGAAAUGAAACUUUUUCAUGCAAAGAAAAACUUAC